rnacentral:pre_miRNA from 1 species
AUGCAUAUUACAGGGCAACUUCUCCUUUGGCAGUUUAGUAUACUAUCUUACUCAAAUUAUAUAUAUGCAUAGUUACAACCUGCCAAAGAAGAUUUGCCCAGUGAUUCUCCU